CCGAAUUUGUUCCAUGUACCUUAUUCCUUGCUGAUGAAGAAUCUGCAGGUGGAAAUUUGGAUGCAUGAAGUUAAAUUUCGAGUGUCAGCUAGGAUUGUGACAAGAGAAGAUAAUUAAGAUUGGUUUUGAAAUUGCAGUAUUGGAAUGCACUAACAGCACAGUGAUAAUGUUGUUUUGGGUUUGAUAAUUUGAAGGCUAUAGAUUUACAUGCUCUCAGUGGUUCCCAGGUCGUAUUCGGCGAUCUGGAGAAGUGAAAUGUGAAUGCUCCAUUCCUUUUGACCAAUCAUGCUUCUUCCAAAUAAGUUAACCGCCGAAAUAUCACAGCAGGCCGGAUAAGGAAAAUUGAGUAACUUAAAUAUCAGGGACUCAUAGAGUCAUAGAUGGUUAGUGAAAGAUUUGCAGUAAAAUUUCAUAAUUGUUAGUGUAAAACAUUACUUUACCAUACUAUAAUCUUGUUGAACAGUGUGUUGCAUAGAAGUUUCAGAGGUUCUGUGAACCCACUGUCUGUAUAGUCAGAGGUCCUGUGAACCGUCUGUAUAGUCUACAUACAUGCAUGACCAUUGUAAACUGAAUUUGACUUUUGACUAGGAUCCCGUAAAUUUCAAGUCGAUCCUGAAUACGACAUUAAGUCGAUUUGUCAUAUAUAUAAUCAUAUUUCUAUGUUGAGUAUGAAUCACUAUUUGAUGAAUAUUUACAGCCUGGCCUGGUGUAACAUUCGCACAUUGUCUUCUAAAAGCAUAGGUUUAGGUUAUUAGUUUUCACAGCGUUCA